rnacentral:lncRNA from 1 species
AGGAGCUGGAGUACGGACUGGCACAGUCAGGACCCUGAAGUUUGAGGAUGUCAGGUGACAUUAUCUUGUCUAAGCAAAAUGUCAAGGUCCAGCUGCUCGGCCGCUGAAGCCUCCCUGCUGUAACAGACUGAAACCUAAACGAAUCUCUCAUCCUGUGGCUUGAAUAGAAUACGCUCAACUUGGGUUCCGUGUAUGACCUCUUACUGGUGGCAUUAAGGAGAUAGACAGUGGAACCCUCAGGAGGUGCUCUCGCUGCCCAGUCUGUUGGAUCCCUUGGGACAACUGCUGGUGCUCUGGACCCUCACGUCUGAACGAAGGACCCUGAUGGGCAGAGAGGAGAAAACGUCUGAAGGAAUGCCUAACUUAUGGGAGGAGAUCUGUCCAGCCUGUCGGUGUAUGCGGUGAACCUGCUUGCUCUGGGUGGAAUGUGACCAUCAGCACGCGACUCAGAGCUGCCGCCAUCCUCCCUGGAGGGAUGGAGAGCCUACAAGGCUCAUGGGGCUUCUGGGGGUGCAGGAGCCUUCAUGGCUAUCCUCUCUGAGGUCGCUCCCUCCUGAAAGGUUACAUAAGGAGUACGCAAUGGACUACGGUUGGGAAAGCGCUUGCAAGUUGCCCAGGGUGCUCUUGAGUUUCACAUUUUCCAGGCAUUGUGAUUCCCAUGUGGUGGGAAGGACCCCUUGAGGAGUAAAUAACUCCGAUGGACUUAUUGACAGGAUUGGAACAAUAAAGUCAGACAGAAUCUAUUCCGCAACAACUGGGACAAGAGGAUGUAUCUUUACAUCGCCCCAGAAAGUCACACAACAGUGGCAAUUCUUCCAUUAUUCAUACAGUAACUUCCAGAAUAAAUAAUGCAUCCUAGAUUAAUAAAGACCUUCUCAUAAACACUA